AUUGAACGCUGGCGGAAUGCUUUACACAUGCAAGUCGAACGGCAGCGCGGGGGCAGCCCUGGUGGCGAGUGGCGAACGGGUGAGUAAUACAUCGGAACGUGCCCGGUCGUGGGGGAUAACGUAGCGAAAGUUACGCUAAUACCGCAUACGAUCUGAGGAUGAAAGCGGGGGACCUUCGGGCCUCGCGCGAUCGGAGCGGCCGAUGUCAGAUUAGGUAGUUGGUGGGGUAAAGGCCUACCAAGCCGACGAUCUGUAGCUGGUCUGAGAGGACGACCAGCCACACUGGGACUGAGACACGGCCCAGACUCCUACGGGAGGCAGCAGUGGGGAAUUUUGGACAAUGGGCGCAAGCCUGAUCCAGCCAUUCCGCGUGCAGGACGAAGGCCUUCGGGUUGUAAACUGCUUUUGUACGGAACGAAAAGGCUCUGGCUAAUACCUGGGGCUCAUGACGGUACCGUAAGAAUAAGCACCGGCUAACUACGUG
rnacentral:rRNA from 1 species